UGCGUAGGCGGACUAAUAAGUCAGCGGUGAAAUCUCUCGGCUCAACCGGGAAACUGCCAUUGAUACUGUUAGUCUUGAGUUCGGUUGAGGUAGGCGGAAUGUGUAAUGUAGCGGUGAAAUGCUUAGAUAUUACACAGAACACCAAUUGCGUAGGCAGCUUACUAGACCGACACUGACGCUGAGGCACGAAAGCGUGGGUAGCGAACAGGAUUAGAUACCCUGGUAGUCC
rnacentral:rRNA from 1 species